AUGUAAUGCUACAGUGAGACACUCAUGUCUUAAAAUGUCUAUCGAUAGGACAAAAGGAGGGUUGUUGGUUUGUCAAGUGGUGGGAAGGACAGUCUAGUGGUUAGGGUAGACUAGAAGUGGAUCAUUGGCUUGCAUCAUUCAGUGGUCUAACUUCCAGCCAAUCACAGUUGAUCUAUGGUAUAACAAUAGCAGUCCUUACAGUCAAUCUUUCAGUGAGUGCAGUAUAGUACAGCACCAAAACGUAACAAUGUUAGCAAUGUUGUUUGCUUUGAUGAUUCUGAGAGCAGCAUUUCCGAUUGAGACCAAAAAGGAUCCUUCUUUGUUGUCUGUGCAGACAGCAGAGCUUGGAGAUAAUGCAACUCUACAUUGUGCAGCUUUACAAACAGUAACAUGUAACGUAUAUUGGUAUUGGUAUAAGCAAUCUCUGGGAUUUGUGCCUCAAACAGUCGCUUCUAAAGUGAAUGAUUCAGUGACAGUUUAUCCCCCAUUCAAUUCAAGGUUCACAGCGGACAAAGAGGUUCUUGCCUUUAAUCUUAAAAUCAGAUCUAUAACUAAAGAUGAUGAGGCAAUCUAUUUUUGUCAAGAAGGUUUAUCUAACCGUUGGAGUGGCACAUUUGUAUCAGUCAAAGGUACGUGAUCUACUUUUUAAUGCUUGUUUCAACCUCAUGAGGAAAAAUCUUAAAAUUUCAAAUCAUCCCAAAAUAUAUCUACUUGGUUCCUUUAAAUUAUGAUCGUUUUAUUUAACUGUAUAGAUCCCAACGACCAGAGGUUUGUCUCCCAGACUGUCGUCCAACAGCCUGUGUCUGCAUCAACUCAGCUGGGAGACCCUGUGGCUCUCCAGUGCUCCAUUACCUCCCAGAGGACGGACCACAGUAACCAGUGCCAAGGGGAACCCAGUGUGUACUGGUUCAGAUCAGGACCAUCUCACCCUGCUGCCAUUUACAUGAAUGGAAACAGGAGUGGUGAAUGUCAGCAUAGUUCUGGGCCUCCGUCUGCUCCACAGAGCUGUGUCUACACUCUCCCCAAGAACAAUGUAGACUCCUCUGAUGCUGGGACUUACUACUGUGCCCUGGCAGCAUGUGGGGAAGUUGUGUUUGGAAAUGGAACCAAGCUGGACAUAACAGAUCCCAACCAUCAUCUGGUGAUCUUGGUACAUCGGAUGAUGUUGGCUUGCUGUCUGCUUGUGAUUCUAAUCCUCAUUCUAAUCAUACAGUACAGGACAGGAAAACAGAUAUUUUGAACCGCACAGCGUUGGGGUUCAAUGGCAGAAAAACCAAAGAUGGGAAGAAGAACAGUGGAAGGACUCAGGAGAGUCUGCAUUCUGCUGUGAGAGAAACCUGCCAGUGAAUUCUAUCAACCUGGGAGUUUGUGUGACCUCAUGAGGCUGAAGGAGAUGGUAAUGGUGGUAUUGAUGGAGGAACUGCAUAUUGUCAGAAGCAUUUGUAUAUUGUUUCCAAUGUUUAUUAAUGUCGCUUUGUUUGGAUCAUUGACAUUGAAUUGCUCACCAUUUGUGAUGCUGUCUUUUGUCCAGCCUAUCUUGAUGUGCAGCCGUACUUAGCCAUUCAUAUCUUUUUUUUUUUACAAUAAACAUUUAUUGAUGCCUAAAAGGUAUGCUUACAAAAUAAAAAAAUGAAGUGCAUAAAAAGGAUGAGAAUGGACCCACUGACUCUGAUAACACACUUACACUGAUUGGGACAUAGUGAGAGAUAUUUAGAGUACUCUGGUUCAGUACAUUUCUGCUUUUUAAAACACAGUACUGACCCAGCUAACACAGGAUAAGCAUUCCUUACAAGGUAAGUGACGCUUUGCAGCUAAAACCACGGACCUAACAGUCACAGUCGAUCAUGUGGCUAGACACUCUAGGCCGCAACUUUUAAUGGAGUCAAAGUCAAAGAUAUACCAGUUGU